UACGUAGGGUGCAAGCGUUGUCCGGAAUUAUUGGGCGUAAAGAGCUCGUAGGCGGUCCGUCGCGUCUGCCGUGAAAACCCGGGGCUCAACCCCGGGCCUGCGGUGGAUACGGGCGGGCUAGAGUCCGGUAGGGGAGACUGGAAUUCCCGGUGUAGCGGUGAAAUGCGCAGAUAUCAGGAGGAACACCGAUGGCGAAGGCAGGUCUCUGGGCCGGUACUGACGCUGAGGAGCGAAAGCGUGGGGAGCGAACAGG
rnacentral:rRNA from 1 species